rnacentral:snRNA from 1 species
UUAGCUCUCUUUGCCUUUUGGCUUAGAUCAAGUGUAGUAUCUGUUCUUUUCAGUUUAAUCUCUGAAAGGUCUCUAAGGAGACCAACAUUGAUUAUUCCUAUUUUUGGUUCACGGGAGGUUUCCUCUGUGCUUGCACAUGAUUCCACCCACUGUGUCCCUGGUAUUACACUGCCUCCAGGUGACGCGAACUGCG